UGGCGGACGGGUGAGUAACACGUGGGUAACCUGCCCUAAAGUGGGGGAUAACAUUUGGAAACAGAUGCUAAUACCGCAUAAAACCUAACACCGCAUGGUGUAGGGUUGAAAGAUGGUUUCGGCUAUCACUUUAGGAUGGACCCGCGGUGCAUUAGUUAGUUGGUGAGGUAAAGGCUCACCAAGACCGUGAUGCAUAGCCGACCUGAGAGGGUAAUCGGCCACACUGGGACUGAGACACGGCCCAGACUCCUACGGGAGGCAGCAGUAGGGAAUCUUCCACAAUGGACGAAAGUCUGAUGGAGCAACGCCGCGUGAGUGAAGAAGGUUUUCGGAUCGUAAAACUCUGUUGUUGGAGAAGAAUGUAUCUGAUAGUAACUGAUCAGGUAGUGACGGUAUCCAACCAGAAAGCCACGGCUAACUACGUGCCAGCAGCCGCGGUAAUACGUAGGUGGCAAGCGUUGUCCGG
rnacentral:rRNA from 1 species